UACGGGGGGGGCAAGCGUUGUUCGGAAUUACUGGGCGUAAAGGGCUCGUAGGCGGCCAACUAAGUCAGACGUGAAAUCCCUCGGCUUAACCGGGGAACUGCGUCUGAUACUGGAUGGCUUGAGGUUGGGAGAGGGAUGCGGAAUUCCAGGUGUAGCGGUGAAAUGCGUAGAUAUCUGGAGGAACACCGGUGGCGAAGGCGGCAUCCUGGACCAAUUCUGACGC
rnacentral:rRNA from 1 species